rnacentral:lncRNA from 1 species
CGCGGAAGUAGGGGCGGUCCGGUCCGUGCAGCGUCGCUGAGCGGCCGUGGAACGGGCGGGGAGGCGCCACCGCCGCGGGGAGAGAGCAGCGCUGCGGCGCGGGACGGAAAAGGAACAGUCAGGCCCUUUUUGGUGUCCUGGAUCACUCUACAACUCGGGGUGGAAGUUGAAGACUCAGAUCCAAUAUCCCACAGGCACAGCUGAUGCUGAACCCAGGAGCCCAGGUUGUGCUCAGGAGUUACUCCAAGAUGAGGAGUUUUGAAGACUAUUGGUCUUCAAGCAGGGCUCCCGUCUGAGCAAUGGGAAUGGUCUGUGGGGAAAGGGAGUGCUGGCAGGAGGCACUGCUG